UCUCCGUAGGUGAACCUGCGGAGGGAUCAUUACUGAGUGAGGGUCUCCGGGCCCGACCUCCAACCCCAUGUGAACCGAAACCUGUUGCUUCGGGGGCGACCCUGCCUUUCGGCGCGGCGCCCCCGGAGGCUUAUCAAACACUGCAUCUCUGCGUCGGAGUCUUAAUGAAUUUAAACAAAACUUUUGGCAACGGAUCUCUUGGUUCUGGCAUCGAUGAAGAACGCAGC
rnacentral:misc_RNA from 1 species